AUGCUCGAGUCCACUUCUGAAGAUAACUGCAGUACACGCAUUUUAAUACAGGACAGUGCAUGGCAUGUUUCCUAUGAGGCUUUUCACUUUCAGCAUAAUGAGAGGGAUCCCAAUUCAGCCUUAAACUGGUUUGCUCAUGCCAAAACCACUCACGACACUCAUCAUGCUACCGUGGUUGAAUAUUUUAUCCAUCUGGUGAGAACUUUGUUGAUUAUGAUUGAGCUGGAGCAGUGCACUAACCCAGGCUUAUUUGUUAAAUGGUUUGUCGAGUCUGGGAGCAGCAAAAACAGCAAGGUUGUUUGGCAAACAUCUACGGAAUAUUUCUGGAGAGUGUGUGUUAUGGGGGCCCUGAUUAUGCCAUUUCUAUUUAAUCUCAUGAGUAACUUGUGCUCAGCAGGAGGUAUCAUGUUCACCUCAUGUGAUUCUUUUAAUUUUUUGAGAAAGGGUGAUCACCUUAACAGUCAGGAGAGCACCACGGCUACCUCUGCUUUGACAUUAAACACUUCCAUUCAGUUCAUGUUCUCUGUGAGAGUUGAGCGCUUGGCCCCCCUGUGCGAUAACGUGCAUUCAUCUAGUGACCAAGCUGCAGAAAAUGGUACUGACAAGAGAAAAGUUCUGCUGACUACUCCAUAUGAGGUAUGGCUUACCAAGCUCCGACCAAGACCAUGGCCAUGGUUCGAGUUUACUCCGGAGACCAUUCAACCUAGGCUAGACUUGGUUUCACUUUCAGGUCAUUGCCGCAAAACUUGUGUGGUGUUCGAGCAAUGCUUUUGUAGUCAGCUCUAUUUACGGAUUGAACACUUGAGGCUCAUGUGUGAUGAAUUGCCCAAUACUCCUGGAAUGGUCAGCUUGGAAUUCACUGUCUUUGCUAUCUAUCUGGCUUUGCUGCUACUCGCUUCUACUGAUAUUAGUCACACUAGAUUCUCCCGCUCAAGCACAACUGUUACAAACCUGAAGCUGCAGCUUAUUGCCUUUUCAGAUGAGUCACUGCAUGUUGGUCUGUUAUUACACAAGACACAUGGCCAGCAACAUAUGAGCAAUCUACAGGCUAGUGGCGAUGAGUGGAAACUCCUGAAGCCUAAUUUCGUUCAAGCUAAUUUUGUCCCCUAUUCGUAUGCAUUUCUCACUGGGAACCAAUUCAUGAUGGUUGUUGAGCUGUUGUUGCAUCCUGUUGGGCAGAUAAGUGACAUGGUUCAAAGGUGGAGAAGCCAAUAUCAUACAGGGGAGCGCAACAAAAUCACUUACAACUAUGGCAUGUGCGUUGGCAUCCUAGUGUACCUUGUCAAGCUAUUGGUGGUGCUUCUCUUGGGGGCCAGAUGCAGGUCUCACUACUACUCUGUUUUGGUUAGCCCAUAA
rnacentral:rRNA from 1 species